rnacentral:rRNA from 1 species
UACGUAGGGAGCAAGCGUUUGUCCGGAAUCAUUGGGCGUAAAGCGCGCGUAGGCGGCCCGGUAAGUCCGUUGUGAAAGUCAAAGGCUCAACCUUUGAAUGCCGAUGGAUACUGCGGAGCUAGAGUACGGAAGAGGCGAGUGGAAUUCCUGGUGUAGCGGUGGAAUGCGCAGAUAUCGGAAGGAACACCAGUGGCGAAAGCGGCUUCCUGGUCCAGCACCGACGUCAGGCACGAAAGCGUGGGGAGCAACAGG